GCCUUAAAAUAGAAACAACCCAAUGUCCAUAAACUGAUGAAUGGAUAGAUGAAAUGUGGUAUGAAAACAAUGAAGUGUUAUUUGGCAAUAAGGACUGAAGUGCUGGGCACCUUAGUGCAUGCCUGUAAUCCCAGUGGUUCAGGAGGGAGGAGCAUGAGUUCAAAGCCAGCCUCAGCAAAAGCAAGGUAGGUGCUAAGCAACUCAGUGAGACCCUGUCUAUAUAAAAAUACAAAAUAGGAUUGGGGAUGUGGCUCAAUGGUCAAGUACCCCAUGAGUUGAGUCCCCAAUACAAAAAAAUAAUAAUUCUCAUUAUAACAUGAAUUUUUGAAAACAUGUUAAGUAAAGCCAGUUAUAAAAGAUCACAUAUUAUUUGAUCAUUUAUAUGAAAUGUCCAUAACAGGUGUUAAGGUUUAAAUAUUAAGUGUCUCCCAAAAGCUCAUGUGUGAGACAAUGCAAGAAAGCUUAGAGGUGAAAUGAUUGGGAUGAGAGCCUUAACCUAAUCAGUACAUUAAUCCCUGAUGGGGAUUAACUGAGUGUGACUAUAGGCAGGUAGGGUGUAACUGGAGGAGGUGGGGCUUUGGGGGUAUAUUUUUGGGUUAUAUAUUUUGUCCCUGGUGAGGUGUUCUCUUUCUCUGCUUCCUGGUAACGUCCUGAGCUGUUUUCCUUCAAUGCACCUUUCCUUCAUGAUAUCCUUCCUCACUUCAGGCCUUGAGGAAUGGAGUUGGCCAUUUAUGAACUAAGGCUGUAGUAGGACAACCAAGGCUGGACACGGAGGAAUAGCAGGAAGCAGGUUUAUUGGCUACAACCAGGUUCAAUGUGGGGGAUUCUUGCCUCUAUCAAAUCACCCCUCUGAACCCCGAGUUCAGAAAGUUUUAGAACUUUAUACCCAGUGUGUAAGUGGAGGGACUCAAAGGCUCACAAUCUGUAGAAAUUCACAUAAAAGCAGUUUUUUCACUGUUCUGGGCACCCAAUUUAAGCCAAGGACACUAGGAAAUGGAGAGUCCCCUCCACUUUCUUCCCACCAGCUGGCUCUGAAGGACCUCACUAUAGUCCUGUGAGAUGCAAACACCUCUGUGUACCCUCCAGACCCAGGCUGGAGGCCUUGAGUCCCACUCUGUCUCUGCAAACACACCCUCCACUUGGAAACUCUUGUUAUAAAAGUUCUUGCUGAUAGUCUAAGAACAAUUAUGCUAAACAGAAUGUUUGAGGAUCUCUGGAGAAGCUUAGUUAUAACAAGGGUCUUCUGGGUGGGGGUAUCUGAUAUACUUCAAGACCUCUGAAACUGUGAGCUCCCAAAUAAACUUUUCCUUCUCUAUGUUGUUCUUGUCAGGUAUUUUGGUCACAGCAGCGAAAAAGUUAACUAAAGAGGUAAAUCUACAGAGACAGACAGUAGUUUAGUGAUUAUCUAGGGUGAGGGGAGGUUAUGGAGUUAAACUCAGAGGUGUAGUAGGGCUUCUCUUUAGAGUAAUGAAAAGGUUUAAAAUUUGAUCGUGGUGAUGUUGCAUAAUUCUGUGUGUGUGUGUGUUUGUGUGUGUGUGUGUGUGUGUGUAGAGGGAUUGAACCUAAGAGCACUUAACUACAUAGUCACAUCCCAAGACUUUUUUAUUUUUAUUUUGAGACAGGUUCUCACUAGGUUGCUUACAGUCUCAUUAAGUUGCUGAAGCUUUCUUUGAACCUGCAUGCUAUCUUCCUGCCUCAGUCUCCCCCUCCCGAUGUGCUGGAUUACAGGCAUGAGCCACCAUGCCCAGCUAAUGUUGCAUAAUGCCAUGGAUAUACGAAAAACCACUGAGUUGCACACUUUACAUGUCUGGAUUACAGUAGCUUCUCUUGUAGGUACAUUCCAAUACCUCUCAUGGAUGCCUGAAACCACGAAGACUACUGAACUCUAGUAUAGGGAUAGUAUACACUUACGUUUUUUUCCUAUACACACAUAUGUAUGAAAAAAAUUGUUUAUAAGUUAAGCUUAGUAAGAGAUUAACCAAAAUAAUAAAAUAUACUAUAAUAAAAGUUAAGUGAAUUUGUUCUCGCAUGAAAGAGUCAAAACAAAGAAUAUUUUUGGAUGGGGUCAAUCACAAGUAACCAAAACCAUGGCAAGUGAAACCAGGGAUAAAGGGAGACUAAUGUAUGUAAAUAUUUGCUACAAGGAUUAUAUAUCAAAAACCCAUUAUUAUUUUUCUUUUUGAGGGGUUUACCAGUACUGGGGAUUGAACUCAAGGGCACUAGACCACUGAGGCACAUCUCCAGCCCUAUUUUGUAUUUUAUGUAGAAACAGGGUUGCACUGAGUUGCUUAGUGUCCUGCUUUUGCUGAGGCUGGCUUUGAACUUUCUAUCCUCCUUCUUCAGCCUCCUGAACUGCUGGGAUUACAGGCAUGCACCAUUGAAUUCAAUUCAAUAAACCUAUUAUUUAAAAAAUGCAAUAUCUAAGUCUCUGUUGUUUCAAGACAUCUGCUAAUUAGAGACAUGUUCAAAAGUAAUAUGCCGUUUUUUUUAAGAGAGAAUUUUUUAAUAUUUAUUUUUCAGUUUUCGGUGGACAUGACAUCUUUUAUUUUUUUUAUGUGGUGCUGAGGAUCGAACCCAGUGCCCCGUGCAUGCCAGGCGAGCACGUUACUGAAAAACCAGCCUCUACCUCAGAGCAAAGCCUGUCCAAGGAAGGGACAUGACCUUUGUCCUUGGAAAAACCCACAGAGCACUCCUAGGCACAUUCCCAC
rnacentral:lncRNA from 1 species